rnacentral:lncRNA from 1 species
AUGGAGCCCAAGGGAUUAUUUUUGUACUAUAAGAGCAAAAACUCCCCAAAGUCACUACUCUGCUCUCAAUUGAUCACCAUUCAAGAGGGCUCAUUAGAUCAUGUCACCUUGAAUAGCACCCCGGAAACGGAUGAGGGUUAUGUUUAUGACCUAACCCUAGAGUAUCAAGCGGCCAACUCUUCCACGGGUAGAAAUAUCUUUCUAGAUGUACCCAAAUUCAACAGCACAUUGACGUACCUCAGGCUUGGAAUUGAUGGAAACAUCAAGCUUUACACUUACUAUGACAAGGUAGAUUCAUGGGAGCAGACCUUCACACUUUUCGACAGAGAUUCGGUGUGGGAGACUGAGUGCCAGCUUCCGUCUAGAUGUGGAGACUUUGGCGUUUGUGAGGACAACCAAUGUGUUGCUUGUCCAUUGGCUAAAGGGCUUUUGGGUUGGAACAAGACUUGUAAGCCUGAGAAGGUAACUUCUUGUAAGGCAACGAACUUCCACUACUACAAGGUUGAAGGAGUUGAUUAUUUCUUAAGCAAGUACACAAGGGGAUCUUCUACCAAGGAGAUCGAUUGUGGUAACAAGUGUACUUCGGAUUGCAAGUGUUUGGUAUACUUUUACAACCAAGAUACUUCAAGGUGUUGGAUCGCUUAUGAUUUGAAAACCUUGACCAAAGUUGCCAAUUCCACUCACGUGGCUUACAUUAAGGCACCUAAUCACUA